AUUGAACGCUGGCGGCAGGCUUAACACAUGCAAGUCGAGCGGGGUGAUGGUGCUUGCACUAUCACUUAGCGGCGGACGGGUGAGUAAUGCUUAGGAAUCUGCCUAUUAGUGGGGGACAACAUCUCGAAAGGGAUGCUAAUACCGCAUACGUCCUACGGGAGAAAGCAGGGGAUCACUUGUGACCUUGCGCUAAUAGAUGAGCCUAGGUCGGAUUAGCUAGUUGGGGGGGUAAAGGCCUACCAAGGCGACGAUCUGUAGCGGGUCUGAGAGGAUGAACCGCCACACUGGGACUGAGACACGGCCCAGACUCCUACGGGAGGCAGCAGUGGGGAAUAUUGGACAAUGGGGGGAACCCUGAUCCAGCCAUGCCGCGUGUGUGAAGAAGGCCUUAUGGUUGUAAAGCACUUUAAGCGAGGAGGAGGCUCUUUUGGUUAAUACCCAAGAUGAGUGGACGUUACUCGCAGAAUAAGCACCGGCUAACUCUGUGCCAGCAGCCGCCGUAA
rnacentral:rRNA from 1 species